rnacentral:sRNA from 1 species
GUAUAAUCCAGUUACCAAGAAUGUGACUGUCAAGAGUGAAGGCGCUAUUCAGGUCAACUUCACACUUGUUCGAUCCUCAACAGAUUCAAACAAUGAAUCAAAGAAAGGAAAAGGGGCUAGCAGCAGCACCAAUGAUGCCAGUGAUCCAACUACUAAAGAGUUUGAAACUUUAAUUAAAGACCUUUCAGCGGAGAAUGGUUUGGAAAGCCUCAUGUUACGCUCCUCCUCAAAUCUGGCUCUGGCUCUUUAUCGAUACCAUUCCUACAAAGACUUAUCAGAGUUUCUGAGAGGACUUGUAAUGAACUAUCCACAUAUUACAAAUCUUACCAAUUGGUUGACAGGACUAGGAUUGUGAUU